AUUGAACGCUGGCGGCAGGCCUAACACAUGCAAGUCGAGCGGAGCGGCGGACGGGUGAGUAAUGCCUAGGAAUCUGCCUGGUAGUGGGGGAUAACGUCCGGAAACGGGCGCUAAUACCGCAUACUAUCAGAUGAGCCUAGGUCGGAUUAGCUAGUUGGUGGGGUAAAGGCCUACCAAGGCGACGAACCGUAACUGGUCUGAGAGGAUGAUCAGUCACACUGGAGAUGAGACACGGUCCAGAGUCCUACGGGAGGCAGCCGUGGGGAAUAAGGGACAAUGGGCGAAAGCCUGAUCAAGCCAUGACGCGUGUGUGAAGAAGGGCUUCGGGUUGUAAAGCACUUUCAGUUGGGAGGCGUUACCAACAGAAUAAGCACCGGCAAACUCCGUGGCAGCAGCCGCGGUAAUAC
rnacentral:rRNA from 1 species